ACACGGGGUUUUGGGGGUACGGGAGAGAGGGAGGUCUGAGCCAGCAAAUGAGAUGUGGGGGCGCAGCGGCUGCUUUCGCCGUGCCUGGGCGGUGUCCUGGUGGUCGUUCAAGCGCUGAGCAUAUGGUCGUGGAUCGGAUUUUCUCUGGUAUUCAGCCAACUGGGACGCCUCAUCUGGGUAACUAUCUUGGAGCCAUUCAGAACUGGGUGAAUCUGCAGGAAGAGUGCAGCUCAGUGCUGUAUAGCAUUAUGGACAUGCACUCGUUCACCAUGCCGAAGGAGCCAGCUGUCCUGCGCCAAAACAUACUGGACACCACUGCUGCCGUCCUUGCCUGUGGUAUUGACCCAAAGAAGUGUUUCCUGUUCCGACAGUCACUGGUUCCUGAGCAUGCAGAACUUGCCUGGAUUCUUGGAUGCUUAACUAACGUGCCACGUCUACUACGCUUGCCCCAAUGGAAGAUGAAGCAUGCCAGCCAGAAUAACGAAGGAACUGUGGGUUUGCUGACGUAUCCAGUGCUUCAAGCAGCAGAUAUUUUGCUGUACAAGUCGACACAUGUUCCUGUUGGAGAAGAUCAAGUCCUGCACCUGGAACUAGCCCAAGAUAUAGCACAACACUUCAACAAGAAAUACGGAGAAUUCUUUCCUGUGCCCAAAGCCAUUUUAAGUGCAACAAAGAAAAUAAAAUCCCUCAGAGAUCCAACAGUGAAGAUGUCCAAGUCAGACCCACAGAAGUUAGCUACUGUUAACAUAGCGGACAGCCCUGAUGAAAUAGUGCUGAAAUUCCGCAAAGCUGUGACUGACUUUACGUCUGAGGUGACCUACGACCCGGCUGGUCGCCCUGGUGUCUCCAAUCUGGUGUCCAUUCAUGCUGCAGUAACGGGGCUUAGCGUAAAAGAAGUGCUGCACCAAUCUGCUGGUCUCGACACCGCUCACUACAAAAUGGUAGUAGCAGAGUCAGUUAUUCAAAAAUUUGCACCUAUCAGGAAUGAAAUCAAGAAACUCCAGGAAGACAAAUCCCAUCUGAUAAAGGUUUUAGAGGAUGGAGCAGAGAAAGCCAAAGAGCUGGCUACCCCUGUCUAUCAAGAAAUAAGACGACUAGUGGGAUUUCAGUAGAAACUGCUGAGUAGUUGCAAGGACUUUUGUUUCCUGGGACAGACAUUUCGUUAUUUGUAUCUUCUUAAUAAUUUUGAUUUGAAACAAAACCUUUUUUACCUGAAACAAAACUUUUUUUUCCUGGAAAAUCCAAGUAGAACAUUGCAGGUGUUUGCAUUAAAAAAUGUGCAUGAAGCCAGAUAUUUCCAGCGGGACCAGCACUGAGCUUGUCUUAGAUAGUCAAAGAGGGAGGAUGGAAGCAAUCAUGAUUCAUGAAGAAAUCCUGCAAAGGCAAAAUAUGAGGUUGCCCAAAUGGGGUUUUGGGUUUUUCCAUUGACCACUGCAAGAAGCUGAGGUAUAGGCAAAGUGAUCAGAAUCUAGCAGAAAUAUUUGUAAUCUUCUCAAUAACAUCCUUAGCUGUGCAUGUGAUCUUGUUACAGAUGGACAACUCAUCCCAUUGGUGGUUAUUCAGCUUUGAUAUGGUGGUUGAAUGUGUUCUUGGAUAACCAGAAUAAAAGCACAGGCUUACAAAUCAAAAUGCUCAGAGUGAUGAAGAGAGAAUUUACUGUCUUUCCCUAUCGUGUCCUCAAACUCAGUGUAAUUUUGUCUCUGCAUCUAGUUUGUGUGAAGUGAGUCAGUGUGUCUUAUGGAUGCGUAUAUCCAUACUCUGAAACUCACUGUGACUACUGUGCUAGAUGGCCUCUUUGAUAGUCACUCCAAAGAAUCCAGAGAGUGGACUUGAAUUUCAUUUCUGCCACCUGUGCCAUCCUGCUGGUCAGGUCUGAAGUACUUCAGUGAGAAACGUGUUCUUCAGCUGCUCCUAUUCCACCUGCUGUUCGGUUUUGCAGGGAGCUCCAGGAUUUUUCAGUUCAGCAUCAAGUCUAGGAUUCUUUUAAAGAAAGGCAUCUGAAGAAGAGAACUGCCAUGCAAGAACUUGGUGAUGACAGAGUUUCUAAAGUUAGUCAAGACUAGAGGAGCAGAGUGGAUGAUGACAGAAUGAUGGGAAACCAAACUCGGUGUAGACAAGUCCAAGGUAAUGUCCUCUGGAAAGAAAAAGUGUUUUCAAAAAUAGACCCUGGUUUCAAAUUAGCUGCAGUGUAUUAGGAAAGGGCACAGCUAUAACUAUGCAUAUUUAAGUAGUUUUACAAAACUUUUGUCAGUGUUUAACAGCCACAUUAGUCUGCAUGGGAACUAAGACAAAAAAUUAAGGCACAGAGUUACCACUGCUUACUGACUUGGCAUACAAUGUUUGCAGUGACACUCUUUAACAUGGAUUGAUUUCUGCAAAGGUCCCACAAUAGGUUCCUUAAGAGAAGGUAACACAGUGCUCAUGGA